GACAGAGGCCCCAAGCGUUAGGCGGAAUCACUGGGCUUAAAGCGUGUGUAGGCGGAUCGUUAAGUGUCUUGUGAAAUCCCACGGCUCACCCGUGGAACUGCUGGUCAUACUGGCGAUCUUGGGCCAACUAGGGGCAGUCGGAACAAGCGGUGGAGCGGUGAAAUGCGUAGAUAUCGCUUGGAACGCCGAAGGUGAAAACAGACUGCUGGGGUUGCGCCGACGCUGAGACACGAAAGCCAGGGGAGCAAACGGG
rnacentral:rRNA from 1 species